UUCAUCUAUGCGGCUCGCGCGGGCGUGUUCGGUCAACUAGCAGUUCACAUUUCCGAAUCAUACGCGCGUUUGUCGUUGAGAUUUUAUUGUUGUCAUCUUCCUUUCUUUCAUUUUGUGCUGUCGAUGGUGUGGGAAAUUUGAAAACUGUACGAAGCUUUUUAAAAUGGUUUUGACAACUUAUGGAUUUUGCUGUAUGUUUAACGGCCGUUAUUUGAAGAGGGAUUUGAUGGAGUUACAAUGUGUGGCAGCGCCAUCGAACGACAGAAUUAACAAAAAUCUCGAUUUUACCGGCGGACUAAUGUUAGUAGUAAACCAAAGCCAAGCCACACCUUUCGAUGUUGAUAUCUCUUAC